GUGUCAGCCGCCGCGGUAAUACAGAGGGGGCAAGCGUUAUUCGGAAUUAUUGGGCGUAAAGGGCGCGUAGGCGGCCUAGCAAGUGGCGGGUGAAAUCCCUCGGCUUAACCGAGGAACUGCCUGCCAGACUGCCUGGCUCGAGACCGGGAGAGGUGAGUGGAAUUCCCAGUGUAGCGGUGAAAUGCGUAGAUAUUGGGAGGAACACCAGUGGCGAAGGCGGCUCACUGGACCGGAACUGACGCUGAGGCGCGAAAGCGUGGGGAGCAAACAGGAUUAGAUACCCCCGUAGUCC
rnacentral:rRNA from 1 species